AGCGCCACCGGGUCCACGCUGCGGGUCACGACGAGAUAGUCGCGGAUGACGAUUCCGUGCCGGUUCUC
rnacentral:sRNA from 1 species